rnacentral:rRNA from 1 species
GAUGAACGCUAGCGGCAGGCCUAAUACAUGCAAGUCGGACGGGAUUGAGGAGCUUGCUCUUCAUGAGAGUGGCGCACGGGUGCGUAACACGUAUGUAACCUACCUUGUUCAGGGGGAUAGCCUCUCGAAAGAGAGAUUAAGACCGCAUAACAUAUUGAUGUGGCAUCACAUUAUUAUCAAAUAUUUAUAGGAACAAGAUGGGCAUGCGGAACAUUAGCUAGUUGGUGCGGUAACGGCGUACCAAGGCGACGAUGUUUAGGGGAUCUGAGAGGAUGGCCCCCCAAACUGGUACUGAGACACGGACCAGACUCCUACGGGAGGCAGCAGUAAGGAAUAUUGGUCAAUGGACGGAAGUCUGAACCAGCCAUGCCGCGUGCAGGAAGACGGCCCUAUGGGUUGUAAACUGCUUUUGCAGGGGAAUAAACCUCUCUACGUGUAGAGAGCUGAAUGUACUCUGAGAAUAAGCAUCGGCUAACUCCGUGCCAGCAGCCGCCGUAAAAC